UCUCAAUCCAUUCAGAGGUUUAUUUUGCCAAGGUUAAGGAUCAUGGCCUGUGACACAACCUCAGGAGGUCCUGAGAAUAUGUGCCCAAGGUGGUUGGUUACAGCUUGAUUUUACACAUCUUAGGGAAACAGAAGUUACAGGCAGACAUAACUUGGUUUGGCCUGGAAAGGCGGGACAUCUUAAAGAAGGGGGCGGGGGGCGGGGCUUCCAGGUCACACGCGAAUGCGAAGAUUUCCUGAUUGGCAAUUGGUUGAAAGAGUUAAGCUCUGCCUGAAGAGUCCAAGUCAGCUGAACUAAGUAAGGGGUGGGGUGGGGUGGGGUGGGGUGGGGGGGAUGGUGGGUGGAAGCCAAGGUUCUUAUGUAGAUGAAGCUCCAGGUAGCAGGCUUCAGAGAAAAUAGAUGUGAAGGUCUCUUAUCAGACCUUAAAAAGUGUCAGACUCUCCUGAAAAGACCUAGUUAGGGAAGGAGAUUCUCUACAGAAUGUAAAUUUCCCCCGCAAGAGACAGCUUUGCAGGGCCAUUUCAGAAUAUGUUAAAGAAAUAUAUUUUGUGGCAAAAUACUUGGAUUUCCUUCAGGGUCAUAGGAUGUUAUACCAGUCAGGUUGGAAUUUGGUAUGUGUUGCUACAAAGAGUCUGUUUGGUCCAUCUUAAGAGAUCUGUUUUAACGUGAAUGCCAGUCAGUUGUCUUUAAACUCCAAAGGGAGGAGAGGGUAAUGAGGCUUGUCUGGAUACUGCUCCCUUCUCAUCAUGGCCUGAACUAGUUUUUCAGUUCUGAACUAGGUUCAGGUUUUUUUGGGAUCUUCUUGGCCAAGAGAGGAGUCCAUUCAAUCAGAUGGGGGACCCCAGAAUUUUAUUUUUUAUUUUUUGAGGCAAAGUCUGGCUCUGUCGCCCAGGCUGGAGUAGAGUGGCGCGAUCUUGGCUCACUGCAACCUCCGCCUCCUGGGUUCAGGAGACUCUUCUGCCUCAGCCUCCGGAGUAGCUGGGAUUACAGGCGCAUGCCACCACGUCCAGCUAAUUUUUGUAUUUUUAAUAGAGACGGGGUUUCGCCAUGUUGACCAGGCUGGUCUCGAACUCCUGACCUCAAGUGAUCUGCCCUCCUUGCCCUCCCAAAGUGCUAGGAGUAUAGGCGUGAGCCACCGCACCCGGCCCUAGAAUUUUAUUUUUGGUUUACAGUACAAAAAGAUCUGCAGUCAGUGUUCUCACAUCUUUUUAAUCAUUCAUAUUGACUUAAUCAGGUUGACAAAAUCUCAGGGU
rnacentral:lncRNA from 1 species